rnacentral:tRNA from 1 species
GGGGGAUUAGCUCAGUUGGGAGAGCGCCGCCCUUGCAAGGCGGAGGUCGCCGGUUCGACUCCGGUAUCCUCCA